CCUUGCUUUUCAGCACUCCACAGAAAAUAAGCUAAUUAGAAGGAAGGAAAGAACAUGAAAAGAAAAAUAUUCUUAAAACAGGACAUGAAAAGAGAGCUAUUCUUCAAAUAUUUAUAGGGUUUCGGCCCCAGAGUUUUCCAUGUUUUCAUCUCCACUCAAUAGCCUCAGGAAGAUGGGGGAGGGCACAUUUUGUCAUGUGGUGAGAUCAGGAGAACCUUCAGAGAGCGACAAGGUUGAGUGGACGUUGCAUCCUACCGGAAGGGACUGGUAGGUGCUCCCUGCCUCCUCUCUCCAGGUAUCAGAUCGUGAAUGGGAAGAAAUGGAAAGUAAAAAAGAGUCUGAAUUUGAGAGAUUUGGAAGGUACACCGAUUUUUUUCAAAUGCAGAGAAGACUUUUGGGUGUCCCAAUAGUUCCAGUUCCUUAGGUUAUGAGCCACAGAACUUGCAUGUCCAGAAGAAGAAGAAAAAGGAAGAGGGCUGAGGAGAAAGGAAGACAGAUGAGAGAAGGAAGAGGAAGGAGAGCUCAUAUUUAUGGAGGUUUUAGCAUGUCCCAGUCACUGCAAUGAGACUGUAACACAACUUGACUGACUGAUCAGGUAAACUAUUGCUGAGAGUGGAU
rnacentral:lncRNA from 10 species